AGGAACUUAGGAUCAACUAAACCAGGGGCCUUCAAAGCCCAAAACAGGGGCGAAACCCCCMUARUCCMUG
rnacentral:tRNA from 1 species